GGGUAACCUACCUAUAAGACUGGGAUAACUUCGGGAAACCGGAGCUAAUACCGGAUAACAUUUGGAACCGCAUGGUUCUAAAGUGAAAGAUGGUUUUGCUAUCACUUAUAGAUGGACCCGCGCCGUAUUAGCUAGUUGGUAAGGUAACGGCUUACCAAGGCGACGAUACGUAGCCGACCUGAGAGGGUGAUCGGCCACACUGGAACUGAGACACGGUCCAGACUCCUACGGGAGGCAGCAGUAGGGAAUCUUCCGCAAUGGGCGAAAGCCUGACGGAGCAACGCCGCGUGAGUGAUGAAGGGUUUCGGCUCGUAAAACUCUGUUAUUAGGGAAGAACAAACGUGUAAGUAACUGUGCACGUCUUGACGGUACCUAAUCAGAAAGCCACGGCUAACUACGUGCCAGCAGCCGCGGUAAUACGUAGGUGGCAAGCGUUAUCCGGAAUUAUUGGGCGUAAAGCGCGCGUAGGCGGUUUCUUAAGUCUGAUGUGAAAGCCCACGGCUCAACCGUGGAGGGUCAUUGGAAACUGGGAAACUUGAGUGCAGAAGAGGAAAGUGGAAUUCCAUGUGUAGCGGUGAAAUGCGCAGAGAUAUGGAGGAACACCAGUGGCGAAGGCGACUUUCUGGUCUGUAACUGACGCUGAUGUGCGAAAGCGUGGGGAUCAAACAGGAUUAGAUACCCUGGUAGUCCACGCCGUAAACGAUGAGUGCUAAGUGUUAGGGGGUUUCCGCCCCUUAGUGCUGCAGCUAACGCAUUAAGCACUCCGCCUGGGGAGUACGACCGCAAGGUUGAAACUCAAAGGAAUUGACGGGGACCCGCACAAGCGGUGGAGCAUGUGGUUUAAUUCGAAGCAACGCGAAGAACCUUACCAAAUCUUGACAUCCUUUGAAAACUCUAGAGAUAGAGCCUUCCCCUUCGGGGGACAAAGUGACAGGUGGUGCAUGGUUGUCGUCAGCUCGUGUCGUGAGAUGUUGGGUUAAGUCCCGCAACGAGCGCAACCCUUAAGCUUAGUUGCCAUCAUUAAGUUGGGCACUCUAGGUUGACUGCCGGUGACAAACCGGAGGAAGGUGGGGAUGACGUCAAAUCAUCAUGCCCCUUAUGAUUUGGGCUACACACGUGCUACAAUGGACAAUACAAAGGGCAGCUAAACCGCGAGGUCAUGCAAAUCCCAUAAAGUUGUUCUCAGUUCGGAUUGUAGUCUGCAACUCGACUACAUGAAGCUGGAAUCGCUAGUAAUCGUAGAUCAGCAUGCUACGGUGAAUACGUUCCCGGGUCUUGUACACACCGCCCGUCACACCACGAGAGUUUGUAACACCCGAAGCCGGUGGAGUAACCAUUUAUGGAGCUAGCCGUCGAAGGUGGGACAAAUGAUUGGGGUGAAGUCGUAACAAGGU
rnacentral:rRNA from 1 species